GAUGAAGAACGCAGCGAAAUGCGAUAAGUAAUUUGAAUUGCAGAAUUCAGUGAAUCAUCGAAUCUUUGAACGCACAUUGCGCCCGCCAGUAUUCUGGCGGGCAUGCCUGUUCGAGCGUCAUUUCAACCAUCAAGCCCCCGGCUUGUGUUGGGGACCUGCGGCUGCCGCAGGCCCUGAAAACCAGUGGCGGGCUCGCUAGUCACUCCGAGCGUAGUAAUACAUCUCGCUCAGGGCGUGCUGCGGGUUCCGGCCGUUAAAAAGCCUUAUUUACCCAAGGUUGACCUCGGAUCAGGUAGGAAGACCCGCUGAACUUAAGCAUAUCAAUAAGCGGAGGA
rnacentral:misc_RNA from 1 species